rnacentral:rRNA from 1 species
GACGAGCGCUGGCGGCGUGCUUAACACAUGCAAGUCGAACGAUGAAGCUGGAGCUUGCUCCGGUGGAUUAGUGGCGAACGGGUGAGUAACACGUGAGCAAUCUGCCCUUGACUCUGGGAUAACUGCGGGAAACUGUAGCUAAUACCGGAUACGAGGCUCGAAGGCAUCUUCGGGUCUGGAAAGAAUUUCGGUCAAGGAUGAGCUCGCGGCCUAUCAGCUUGUUGGUGAGGUAAUGGCUCACCAAGGCGACGACGGGUAGCCGGCCUGAGAGGGUGACCGGCCACACUGGGACUGAGACACGGCCCAGACUCCUACGGGAGGCAGCAGUGGGGAAUAUUGCACAAUGGGCGAAAGCCUGAUGCAGCAACGUCGCGUGAGGGAUGAAGGCCUUCGGGUUGUAAACCUCUUUUAGCAGGGAAGAAGCGAAAGUGACGGUACCUGCGGAAAAAGCACCGGCUAACUACGUGCCAGCCGCCGCGGUAA